ensembl:snoRNA SNORD27 Small nucleolar RNA SNORD27
ACUUAAUGAUGAGUGUAAAUGACAAGCAUAUGGCUGAAUUGCAGUGAUGUCAUCUUUCUACUGAAAAGU